UACGUAGGGUGCGAGCGUUAAUCGGAAUUACUGGGCGUAAAGCGUGCGCAGGCGGUUUUGUAAGCCAGAUGUGAAAUCCCCGGGCUUAACCUGGGAAUGGCAUUUGGGACUGCAAGGCUGGAGUGCGGCAGAGGAGACUGGAAUUCCUGGUGUAGCAGUGAAAUGCGUAGAUAUCAGGAGGAACACCGAUGGCGAAGGCAGGUCUCUGGGCUGACACUGACGCUGAUGCGCGAAAGCCAGGGGAGCGAACGGG
rnacentral:rRNA from 1 species